GUGCUCCUCCUUUGGCCGCACAUAUAAUACAAUUGAAACGAUACAGAGAAGAUUAGCAUGGACCUUGUGCUAGGACAACAUGCAAAUUCGUGAAGUGUUCCAUAUUUUU
ensembl:snRNA U6 U6 spliceosomal RNA